UUCCGGUUGAUCCUGCCGGAGGUUACUGCUAUCGAGGUUCGACUAAGCCAUGCGAGUCGAAUGUAGCAAUACAUGGCGUACUGCUCAGUAACACGUGGAUAACCUACCCUUGAGAUGGGGAUAAACCCGGGAAACUGGGUAUAAUACCCAAUAGAUCUCGACUGCUGGAAUGCAUCGAGCUCCAAAGCUCCGGCGCUCAAGGAUGGAUCUGCGGCCUAUCAGGUAGUAGUGGGUGUAGCGUACCUACUAGCCUACGACGGGUACGGGUUGUGAGAGCAAGAGCCCGGAGAUGGAUUCUGAGACACGAAUCCAGGCCCUACGGGGUGCAGCAGGCGCGAAAACUUUACAAUGCUGGAAACAGCGAUAAGGGGACCUCGAGUGCCAGGUUACAAAUCUGGCUGUCGUGAUGCCUAAAAAGCAUUGCAUAGCAAGGGCCGGGCAAGACCGGUGCCAGCCGCCGCGGUAACACCGGCGGCUCGAGUGGUAACCGUUAUUAUUGGGUCUAAAGGGUCUGUAGCCGGCCGGAUAAGUCUCUUGGGAAAUCUGGCAGCUUAACUGUCAGGCUUUCAGGAGACACUGUCUGGCUCGAGGCCGGGAGAGGUGAGAGGUACUUCAGGGGUAGGGGUGAAAUCUUGUAAUCCUUGAAGGACCACCAGUGGCGAAGGCGUCUCACCAGAACGGACCUGACGGCAAGGGACGAAAGCUAGGGGCACGAACCGGAUUAGAUACCCGGGUAGUCCUAGCCGUAAACGAUACUCGCUAGGUGUCGGCAACGGUGCGACCGUUGUCGGUGCCGUAGGGGAGCCGUGAAGCGAGCCACCUGGGAAGUACGGCCGCAAGGCUGAAACUUAAAGGAAUUGGCGGGGGAGCACCACAACGGGUGGAGCUUGCGGUUUAAUUGGAGUCAACGCCGG
rnacentral:rRNA from 1 species